rnacentral:rRNA from 1 species
AUUGAACGCUGGCGGCAGGCCUAACACAUGCAAGUCGAGCGGAGCGGCGGACGGGUGAGUAAUGCCUAGGAAUCUGCCUGGUAGUGGGGGAUAACGUCCGGAAACGGGCGCUAAUACCGCAUACUAUCAGAUGAGCCUAGGUCGGAUUAGCUAGUUGGGGGGGUAAAGGCCUACCAAGGCGACGAUCCGUAACUGGUCUGAGAGGUUGAUAAGUCACACUGGAACUGGAACACGGUCCUGACUCCGACGGAAGGCAGCAGGGGGGAAUAUUGGAAAAUGGGCGAAAGCCUGAACCAGCCAUGCCGCGUGUGUGAAGAAGGGCUUCGGAUUGUAAAGCGCGUUAAGUUGGGAAGCGUUACCAACAGAAUAAGCACCGGCUAACUACGUGCCAGCAGCCGCGGUAAUUC